rnacentral:lncRNA from 1 species
AAAAGAGACCCCAGAGAGCUCCCUAACUCCUUCCACCAUGUGAGGACACAACGAGAAGUCUGUGACCGGAAGAGAGCCCCCACCCGACCACGCUGGCACCCUGAGCUUGGAUUUCCAGCCUCCAGAGGAGAAGAAAGGAAUUUCUGCUGUUUAUAAGCCACCCAGUCUGUGGUAUUUUGCUAUGCUGCCCGAACGGACUAAGACACAUCUCUCCUUGGCAGUCACCGCAUCCCCCUUCUCCUCGUUCUGGGUGUGCUGGCAGGAGGUGGAGCAGCCAUAUUGACCCAUGAGGUAGAAGAUGAGUGUUGAGGAUACAGAGAAACAAGAUAGCAGGAGCCUGGAUCCCUAAUGACUUCGCCGAGAAGAGGCACCAUGCCAGCUCGACUUGGACAGAGCAAACCAACCUCCUGGAGAAAACAUCGUCACCUCACCCCUGGGCCCUGGGGAAGCUGGGAGUGGCUUUGCCUCUGUUUGAAGAAGGAAGGUGCUACCCAAAGGGGCUGGCCUGCAGGACACCCUCAAAGGAGGACCCUGGAGGCACAAAACCUGGAUGCUUCUCCAGCGCUAGGCAGGGAGCCUGACGCUCAGGCAGCUACUCUUCAAGGGCAUCCAGCGAAGCCCCUUCUUGUCCUCUGAUCCCACCCUCGGGGACAACUGUGCCUGUGCCUGGCACUGUGCCAGAGGCUUUGCACACAUUGUCUCUUUUCAAUCCUCACAGCAAUACUGGGGGAGGCACUAUUCUGGCCCCCAUUUUACAGGUGAGAAUACUGAGUCUCGGAGAGUUGCGCGAACCUUCUUCUCAAGGGCAUUUGGCAAGCAUCAAGGCCAGAACUUGAACCCUCUCAGCCCAGAGCCACUGUCCUGCUGGGAGCCCCAAGCCCUUACUUCACCCGCC